rnacentral:snoRNA from 1 species
UUCUAUGAUGAGCAACAACCAAAUUCUUUAAAUUCUGGUACCUCUUAUGUUAGAGCCCUUCGGGGCUCAAUGAAUGAACUGGACUUCUGAUC